CUUGAUGUCCCGGCUGGGCUCCAGGAGAGUAGACAGUUCCAUGAACCGCAUAGGACUGACUUGCAGGGCCAAACCAGGGCCUUCCCUUGUCUGCCACAGGGAAGAGAAACAAAAGUGGGCCCAGACCCUGAGUCUGCAGAGCUGCUUUAGACAAGACAAGACAAGCCCUGGGGUCAUCCCCAGAUGUGCACAAAUCGGGCCACUCCUCCAGCACCCUAUGGCCAUCAGUUCUGGUCUAGCUCCUAGAUUUUUCUGAGUCCUCCCUGAGUUCCAGCAUCUUUCUUCUCCUUCAUGUUUUCUUCACUCUUUCUAUUUCCAUCUUUGCUUUCCUCUCCAGCCCUUCUGUUCUAUCCUUCUGGCCUUCUGUGGGACGUGAGGGGUCACAGACUGGCAUCCUUGGGGCUCUGUGUAGAUCACUGAUCACUGACAUACUUCUUUCUGUAUCUCCUUAAUCUUAAUGAGACCAUUAGGGGGUGAUAAUCUCCACUAGUCCUGGUCACAAUUGGUCUGAAUCAGAUGUCUUCUGUAGGUCUAAAAGAUCCCCCAGGAGGUGGGUAGAGGACAGGAAGAGGACUCAGGGUCUAUCCCAACUUCCUUACUUCCUGUGUCCAUGCAGGUAGAGACUUGGAUCACUCCUCUCGGGAAGGCAAAACCUGACCCCUCUCUUGCUGUGAGCCCAAGCUUCCACCUAACCUCUGUCCCCUAAGGACCACCUGCUACCAAGCCCCAUGGCUCCUACCAUUCUCUCAUUUCUGGAGGCCUAAAGAAGAUUUGAAACUUAAGCAGGUGCGUCUGGACCCUCACGUCCCACCUUCACGGCUGUGACCAUGCACCCAUGCAGAUGAAACACUUCUUGGCCAUAGUAAACAUCCAGUAAGUGGUAGUGGUUUUUAAAGCGAUGUUUUCUUACACUUUGGUCUUUAAAAAAAAAAAAAAAAAAAAGGACCCCAUUUUCUUCCUCCUCACUGCUUACUCUCAUGAAAACAACACUUCAAUUUCUGCAUGCUUCUAUUUUUGAAGAUCCAGACCUGUUUGCCAGUGACCAUCUUGCACUUCUGUGGCUUGUGACUAACUGCUUCAAAAGGCCCAACUCCUCCUGUGCUGGGGCUGAGCCAGAGCUGAGGAGCUGCAGCUGGGGCCAUCAGAGACAAAUUAAUAGCUCCCGUCUUCUGGCUGCUCUGCAGAUCUCUUACGCUCGAUGAGAAAAGAGGAAGGUGGGUUUUCACUGAGGUCAGAUGCUAGCUGUCUACUUAGUGGAAAUUGGCCAUGUCUGACUUCCCCCUCCCUCUGUCGCUGAGCUCUGACCCCCAACCUCUGCUCAUCUCCAGUCCUCUGUAGAUUCACUUAGGUCAGAGCAUCGUGUCUAUUUGCUCAUAGCCACAUGGACUGAAGAGUUCUAGUGAGAAGUAGCUGGUGGAGAGAUGGGGCACAGGGGUGGCGGGGGGAGUUCAGUCUGUCUAAUGAAUUCUUCACCCCUCAUGUGGACUUAGGGAAAAGAAUUUUUUGAGAGAGAGAGACAAGAUCUUACAUAGCUCAGGCUGGCCUCAAACUUGCUGUGUAGCCGAGGACGACUUUGAAUUCCCGUUCUUUCUGCCUGUACCUCUGCAGUGCUUGGAUUAUGGGCGUGAGCCAACCAUGCCUGGUUUGUAUGGUACUGGGAUUCAAACCCAGAGCUUUGUGCAUGCUAGACAAGCACUGUGGUCACUGAACUACAUCCCCAACAAUAGACUUAGUGAUUACUAACACACCCCUAUAUUUUCUUGUUGAUGCUUUUCUUUUAAUAAUAAUAAAAAAGAUUUUUAGAAAA
rnacentral:lncRNA from 1 species